rnacentral:rRNA from 1 species
UACGAGGGGUGCAAGCGUUAUUCGGAAUCAUUGGGCGUAAAGGGUGCGUAGACGGUCUAUUAAGUCUGUCGUUUAAUACUCUGGCUUAACUGGAGAAAGGCGAUGGAAACUGGCAGGCUAGAGGGUGAGAGAGAGAAGUGGAAUUUCUGGAGUAGCGGUCAAAUGCGUAGAUCUCAGAAGGAACACCGAUGGCGAAGGCAGCUUCUUGGCUCAUGCCUGACGUUGAUGCACGAAAGCGUGGGGAGCAAACAGG